rnacentral:rRNA from 1 species
CCUACGGGACGCAGCAGUGGGGAAUAUUGCACGAUGGGCGAAAGCCUGAUGCAGCAACGCCGCGUGAAGGAGGAAGGUCUUCGGAUCGUAAACUUCUGUCCUUGGGGAAGAUAAUGACGGUACCCUUGGAGGAAGCCCCGGCUAACUACGUGCCAGCAGCCGCGGUAAUACGGAGGGUGCGAGCGUUAAUCGGAAUUACUGGGCGUAAAGCGCUCGUAGGCGGUAUGUCAAGUCAAGGGUGAAAUCCCCGCGCUCAACGUGGGAACUGCCUUU